rnacentral:sRNA from 1 species
GAUGCUUCUAAAUAGUGAUCACUUUCAGGAGGCAGCACUGCAGCUGGAAGGAUGCGAGCGACCUAGAGUGGAGGGGCUGAGGCGGCAGAUCUGAACUUGCGGAGGAUAAGAACCCAAACUUUGACUACAUCAGUCCGCACCUCGCCAGUGAAGCAAAGGACGGGUUAUCUUUUUUUUUUUCUUUCUAAGACUCAAGUUUGGGCACUUGAUCCCUUUUCUUGGAUUGCUUUGGAGGAGACGAUUUGCUGGCAACUUUGGGAACAGUCAGGACUGUGUUGUAACUCUUACUUGUAAAGCGACAGUAGAGGAUCAGACUUUUUAAAUGUUUGGAAUUCAAGAUACUUUAGGAAGAGGACCAGCUCUGAAAGAGAAAUCGCUGGGCGCCGAGAUGGAUUCGGUCAGGUCCUGGGUCCGGAAUGUCGGAGUGGUGGACGCUAAUGUCGCGGCGCAGAGCGGGGUCGCCCUGUCCCGGGCCCACUUUGAGAAGCAGCCUCCUUCCAACUUGAGGAAAUCCAACUUCUUUCACUUCGUCCUGGCGCUCUAUGACAGGCAGGGCCAGCCGGUGGAGAUCGAGCGUACGGCCUUCGUGGACUUUGUGGAGAAUGACAAAGAACAAGGCAACGAGAAGACCAACAACGGCACUCACUACAAGUUACAGCUCCUCUACAGCAACGGUGUCCGCACGGAACAGGACCUCUAUGUCAGGCUCAUCGACUCGGUCACCAAGCAGCCCAUCGCUUACGAGGGACAGAAUAAGAAUCCGGAAAUGUGCCGAGUUCUCCUGACGCACGAAGUGAUGUGUAGUCGAUGCUGCGAAAAGAAAAGCUGUGGAAACCGAAAUGAGACUCCAUCGGACCCAGUCAUAAUCGACAGGUAGGGGGAAAAAGUGAUUUUUCAAUCAUUUUUGGUUCCUUUUCUUCAUGAACCUCAACUCUGAGUACUGAUCCAUGGAGCUUUGCUGUCAAGUUGGUUUCAUGUUAUUUCUAGUCACUAAGCUCGUCCAACAAAGGCCUCCUCAUGAUGGCCUUUCUUGGAAGAAGCCAGAAUCUUCCUUUGGAACACGUGUCUCUAAAUCUGUGGUGGAGUCUUUUCCAGGUGCACCAGCUUCAGCCUAAUAAGUAGUAUGUGUGGUGCAGGAUAUAAGUGAUGGCACCUCUCCUCUCGGGCAGGGUGUGGUCUUAAUCAGUUUUCUAGAAGAAGCAGUGUGCCCCAAGUUAAGUGGCACCCACUUUAUUAUUCUCCAUGAUUGCUGCUUGGCUGGAAGAUUAUCAAUUUAGAUUAUGGUUUAGGGGAUUAUGACAAGCUCUCUGUUGCAUUCAGGGAGAUUCCUUUCUACCAUGGAGGAUUGCAUUCUGGGUUCUAUGUUAUAUUCAGAAUGGGAAAGAUUCUUUGGGACAAGACACUAAUUCACUGAAAUGUGAUUUAGGCAUCCUCAGCUGUCUGUUUUUUGUGAUUGGAAACAGAACUUACAAACCAAUGAAGAAAUACCAAAUUAACUUCCAGAAAUCAUGUAAUUUUUAAGAAACCCCAUAUUCCCAUCCCUAAUUUUUUUCUCUUUCGUUAAAAAAAUGGAAUAAUUCCCUGUUGCUUCUUUCUUUGGGUUUUCACAUUUCUAGCCAGGUCCUGAAAUGGAUUGGAGAGACCACAGUCUCCAAAGUUGUUAUUCCAAUAUUCCAACGAAUUCUCAGUUGGGAGAAUGGAACCUCUGGCAUUCUUCCCAGAAAGCCAGCUUGGUUUCUUCGUGGAAAGUAUAGCAUAGCCUAGGAACUGAGGAGGCUGGAAUUCUGAUCUUGUCCUAGCUUCUGACCUUGGACAAAGCACUCAGCAUCUCUCUUCUUCAAGAAUAUAAUGAUGGGUUAGGGGGUGCCGUCACUGCUGUAGGCUUCAAGAGGCUACUGAAAUAUCAGUGGCAGCUUUGCAGUGUUCUCUGAGAUGCUUGAAGAGGAUGAUAGGCAAAUAUAAAACGUUUGUUGGAUGUGUAUAGUGUCUUUGCCAUUUUAGAAGGUUCCAGUGAGCUGUGUUUUAGGGAGCUAUUGAGGUUGCUCUGGUCUUUUUGAAAGUACAGAGAAGCUUAAAUAUAUAGAGUUGCAAGUACUCUUUGGAGUCAGUCAUUUUCCUCAUCUAGAAGAAAAAUCUGAACCUGAGUGGUGGCAUGACUUGCCUGUGGUUGUGCAGCUGGUUGGGCAGAGCUGGCAUUAGAACACAGCUGUCCUUACUUCCAGGCUGGGUGCCGUAACUCACGCCUGUAAUCCCAGCACUUUGGGAGACCGAGGUGGGCAGAUCACUUGAGGUGGGGGGUUUGCGACCAGCCUGGUCAACAUAGUUGACCCCAGUCUUUACUGAAAAUACAAAAAUUAGUCAGGCAUGGUGGCGCAUGCCUGUAAUCCCAGCUACUUAGGAGGCUGAAGCAGGAGAAUCGCUUGAACCCAGGAGGCACAGAUUGCAGUGAGCCAAGAUCAUGCCACUGCACUCCAGCCUGAGCGACAGAGAGAGAUAGUGAGACUCUGUCUC